CCCAAUGUGGGGAUUAGCCAUCAUGCUGGGAACACUGGCUCCCUGCGUACCACCAGGCUUUGUGCCAAUGUUCUGAGGGUGGGCAAAGCAGGAGCUCCCUGAGGAGGUGUGAGCAGAUGAAGACAGUCCAGCAGGGGGAUGGCAGACCGCCUGGAUCAGCUGCACACUCACAGCUCCCUGCACGGGUGAGGGGUCGCUGAAUAUGUUGGAGCGAGGCGUGGGGGAUCUUAGCUCUGCGACCAGGGAUCGAACCUGCACCACCCUCAUUGAAAGGCGAAGUCCCAACCACUGGACCACCAGGGAAAUCCCCUUGUCUGUCUUCUUGACUGGCCUAAGAAGGCCUCCUGGCUGCAAACAUCCUGCCGAGGAAGGGCUGCCAUCAUCUUUCUAGUUCUCAUCGAGGGAAGAAACGGCCUGCACAUAGAUCUGUGGACCAAUUCGAUGCACAGGUCCGGCUUCCUGAAAAGGCCGACCCCCCCCAGGGUGGGCUGCUCUCCUCGGCCAUCUUCCGGCCCCUCAGAAACCAGCAGGGGCAUAGGGCAGCCAGAGAAGCGCUGAGAGCAUGGCUCACGCAGGCAGGCGGGGCCAGUAUCAGACUGUGUCAGUUCCCUUAAUUUAAGUCAACUUGUCUUAACUACUUACACAUGAACAGAUUCUUUUAAUUGUUCCUUAUUUUUUAAAUUAGAAAAAUAGGACCUGCUGAUGCCAGAAAAAUAAUUCUAAAAAUAAAAAACAGUAUAAAAGUGAAAGUCCCUCCUCAUUCACUAACCUCCACCCCAAAUCCUGAAAGCCCACCUCCAGAAGUAACCAUUGCUGCAGACAUACACUCAAGUGAUUUUGCUGAACUUGGC